AUUGAACGCUGGCGGCAUGCCUUACACAUGCAAGUCGAACGGCAGCACGGGAGCAAUCCUGGUGGCGAGUGGCGAACGGGGUGAGUAAUAUAUCGGAACGUGCCCGGUCGUGGGGGAUAACGUAGCGAAAGCUACGCUAAUACCGCAUACGAUCUACGGAUGAAAGCGGGGGAUCGCAAGACCUCGCGCGAUUGGAGCGGCCGAUAUCAGAUUAGGUAGUUGGUGAGGUAAAGGCUCACCAAGCCGACGAUCUGUAGCUGGUCUGAGAGGACGACCAGCCACACUGGGACUGAGACACGGCCCAGACUCCUACGGGAGGCAGCAGUGGGAAUUUGG
rnacentral:rRNA from 1 species